UACGGAGGGUGCAAACGUUGCUCGGAAUUAUUGGGCGUAAAGCGCACGUAGGCGGUCCAGCAAGUCGGGUGUGAAAGCCCUCGGCUUAACCGAGGAAGUGCAUUCGAAACUACAGGACUUGAAUACUGGAGAGGAUCGCGGAAUUCCCGGUGUAGAGGUGAAAUUCGUAGAUAUCGGGAGGAACACCAGUGGCGAAGGCGGCGAUCUGGGAAGAUACUGACGCUGAGGUGCGAAAGCGUGGGGAGCAAACAGG
rnacentral:rRNA from 1 species